AUAGAAACGGAAGCCGCUAUCUGAAAUGGCGACGACUUUAGAAUUUCAAGGACGAAUAUUUUCCACUUCAAUACUUUUUAUAAAAUAGCUUAAUUUAUAUGGACGUCCGGAAAUGAAAAUACCUGUCAGAAUUUGAAAUUAGAAUAUUCUAUGCGAGUUAUUUUUGUUCCAACAGCUGGUGUAUGUUACUGAGACUUAGAAUACCGGUACAAGAACACGCGAAGGACUUUUUUAAUGCGCUUAGAACGUCAUUCGAGUGAAGAUACUACUCCGAAGAGAUAAAUUUUUUCCCUAUACAAGUGAUAGAAUUGUUCCUUCUAAGAUAAAUUUUUAAGAUGAAUUGACUGAAUGGAUUUAUUUUCUUUCAACUGGUGAAAUUGUGGUUAUUGCAUACUCACAAAAAAACACACUAAAAAAACGGAUAUCUAACGCCGGAAGUCACGUGACUGAUGUCCAUUCUAAGGCAAUUAAAUGUGGCACUACUGCACUACUUAUGUAAAUGACGUUACUCAACGUAAAAGGAAAGGUCACCUUAAAAGGGAUAAUAUUUUUCCUCAUUUCUCAAUUGACUGAUUUUCGAUUUCGUUCAGACGGAAGAGUAGCUUAGUACUUCAAGUGCGAAGAGGAAGUCAAGGUGGUGAGAAGGCAAAUAAUAAAGUGAAUUAUCGCGUUCUUUUCAUUUCCUGAUCAUAAGAACAAAUCAGAACAUUAUUUUUUCUAGAACACGUAUAUCGACACUGAGCCGGAAUUAUAAUGAUCCUUGCGUCACGAUUCUAAGGUGGUUUAUGAGUUAUGAAAAGAUAACAUUCCUUGAGUUCUUCCUGUCAGGUACAUUUUUUCUCACUCGUCUUAUGGCACCUGAUUGACAUGGACACUGGGCUGGGCGUCCAGUGGCCACUCAGCCCUUUCGCCACUGCGAUCGCAACAGGGGCGCUGUUUGCUUUCUGUGUUACGCUGUGGAACAAACGUCCGAAUCGCACCCCACCCCAGGACUCAAUCGAACAUUAUUCUGUAGGUCAGAAUGUCACUUGUCGGAAUGAAUUGCAAGAAUGCAGUGGCACCAUUCAAAGGCAUGUUUUGAAGCUGGAAAUACCAACAGAUAUAAUCGAUACAUCGGUAUUUAGUUUCCCAUCGAUAUAUCGUAAAUCAAACGAGGAGGAAGAAUCUAAUGCUCUGGUUUUUGCACUUCCUAGUGUUAGUGAUUCGAGUGGUGUCACAGUAAAACUGAUCGAUUUGGAUGGUAGAUAUUCAAAGCUCAAUAUUGGACUUUGUCUAAAGGAAAAAGUUACAUUCGGACGGACUUUUCCUGUUUUGGGAAAUCCAUUGGUUUAUUUCCCCAAACCAGAUCCAAGAGAAGCAUUGCGAUUUAGGAUCGGCGUGAAUUCAAUUCAGUUCCAUCAAUUAAUGAAAUUUAAAUACCCAUAUAUUUAUCGUAAUUUUUCUCGAAAUAGCUCUCAUGUUUUCAAGAAGUACAGUUAUAUUAAUGAUAGAUUUUUAGAUGCUGAAUGUGCUGGCAAAACGCAAAGUAAUUUACUUGAGAAUAAUGUUGUAGUUUGCCUUGUUUCCAAGACACCUAGUUGUACGGCUGACGCUGAAGUGCAGACUUGUGAAACAGCAUUUGAAAUAGAAAAAAAUAAACAUCAGACCCUUAAUUUAGAAGCUAUUACAUCCCGAAUGGAACUAAAUGAAACAGAUUCUGAUAAUGAGAACUGGAGCAUAAAUACUGUAAAAGCUGGUAUUUCUGAAAAACGAGAUUUAGGAAAUAACGAGAAUACAAUAGCCAGUUUUGAUUAUGGCAAUUUGGACAAAAAUACGUUAAAAAAUGCAAUUUAUGAAGAACAAAAUGCAGUAAAGAAUGGAAAUGAAAUAAUCGGUCAUGAUUAUACAAUAACCAAUAACGCUGAUGAUAAAUUGAACACAAACGCGACAAAAGGGCCAAGUUUGAAAAAGCCUGAUAGUUUCGGUGCAAAAGAGGAUAAAAUUGCUGGAAGUGAAGGAAAGCAAACUAUUUUCGAGAAUGAAAAAUCUUUAAAUGCAACAAUCAGUGAAAAAAUUCUAUCCGAAGAUAAUAUGAAUAAGAAAUCUCAAAGCAUCGAUUUCAAUCAAAUUGAAAAUAAUAAACUAGAAACUGAAGCAAUUAAUGGCUCAAAAUCAAAUAGCAAUUUAUUAAAUGCUGAUGAAUAUACCGACAAAAAUUUUCCAAAUAAAAAUUCUAAAAAUGGUUCAAAAAACGUUACGGAAUUCGAACAAGUUAGAAAAGAAAUAUUAAACAAAACGUUUAAUAAAAAUAUUUAUGUGAACGAAAAAUAUAAUUCAGUGUUUACAGAGAAAACGUUAAAAAAAGAAAAUGCCCCGAUGCUGUUAUCGGUCGAAAUCAAUGGAACAACAUAUGGCGGGAACAAGUGUCAAGAUGUCAACUAUGACGAACCCACACGUGCUUCUUCUAUCAUUGGUAGAACUGCUGAUGUGAAAAUGUCGAUAAAUUACCCCAAAGUGAGCAUCCCGAAACAUAGAUCGAUGAAGGAGAAUUUGGAAGAAUUCCAAGAAAGUGGUGAUAAGGAAGAAGUAGUGAUGACGCCGCGAAAAAACGAAGAAUUAUCGUUUGCUCUUGAAACGAAGCAAACCUAUACAAUAGGGAGAAGAUCUAAUAGCUCCCAAAGCUUGAUCGACUGUAAAGAGGGGGUGGCGGGGAGCGGCGGCACUACAACAAACGAUCGUGACGUAAAAUGUGAAGGAGAGGGGGAAUGUUCUACGUCACGCACUCGAACGGCUGAUGAACGAGAGGCUCGCUUGGAGUGUUGGCAAAUGGACCGGCGGUCGGGCGAGAGGUCGGAUGGCGGAGUAGAUACUUCAUGCAUAAUCGAAACUUCUAUUACUAGCGAAACGUUGAUACAGAAGAACGGCGGAACGCGCGUUUCGAGUAGCGUUACUCUUGAUACGUCAAAUGUUUGGCUAUCGGAUACCACUUGCAGCAAUGGAAUGGUCAAAACAGUGGUCACUAUGGAUUCUAAAUAUAACGAAAAUAAAAAUGAUGAGUUUUUCAGACCCACUUACGAGGAAUUUAUGCCGGAUGAGAGGAAAAGUUUAGAUGCGACUAUUAAAGAAUUGAAUGAAAUUGCGGAGCGGCCGCUUGUUUCUUCUGAACCUUCAUCCCCCCGUGUGAGCCGGUUAAAAGCUCUUCUAAGUCGGGAUGAAGAAAGACGCGCCAGAAUGAAGUUCUUUCAAGAAAAAUCCUCAUCCGUGAAUGGGAGUGGAGGAGCUGGAGCAUCGAUUGACGGGGAGUGGGAUCGCAUCCUGCGCGAUGUCUUGGCUAGUGUUUCCGAGUUAGAGCAUUGGGAAAAGGAUGAAGAACAGCGCCGGCGCUGUGACGUCACUGUUUCGGAGAGAGAGGAUGCGGAUAAACAUUCUCAGCAUCCUCACUCUGAUUCUUCCCCCAACAUGGAAGGGGAAGCUGCCGUUCUGAGCCCGAGCAAGGGCGAGACUCCAACAAAAGUGAAAAAUCUGCGCUUCAAACUCGAUCCCGAUGUUUUCGACGUGCCUUCCGAUGAUAGCUUUUACGGUGACGAUGACGACGACUUCCGACGGUGGAAGAAGCAACCGAAGUAUAGAACUUUCUCUUCUCUCGAACUUAGUGAUGAACCUGUCAAACUCGUGUCAGUGCAUGCCAGUGUGGUACCGGCCGGCCAUAAAAUGGUCGCUCGGCCAGUUGGCAUUGAUUUAAGGGUUCGUUUGACUGAAGAACGCCAAAGUAAAAGAGCUCAUGUUGGAACCUCGCCUUCGCAGGUUAAGAGACGAUCUCCAGUUUCAGAUGCCAGAGUCGGUUGGUGCCAGGAAUUGUCGCCUGUCACUGAAAAUGUUGAUUGGCGAGAAAGUUUUACACCAGUUCCAAAAGAUACUCCAGAAAUUACAAAAACUGUACCGAAUGGGAUUUUAAAAUCGCCAUCUCCGAAAAUAGAAGUUCGAGAUUCCGCUAAUCCUUUCAAAACUGAACAAAAAUUAAGUAACGGUACACCGGUUGUUAUUACCAAAAAAAUUGAAAAACCUCUUACAAACGGUGUAGCUUGGAAACCUAAACCUCCAGAAAAGAAGUUUUCUCUGCCGCGAAAAAAAUUCACACCUGAUCCUGAAGCUGUUGACCGCAUCACAGGAUAUAAACUUGCUUUAACAAAACCUCCGUUACCCCCACCAGUGUACCAUCGUGUGACAUCUCCAACAGUGAAAGCUAGUCGUGCUGAGAUUGCCAGGAAACAGUAUCUGGAUAACAAGGCUUCUUUAUCAGCACCUAAAGUGGAUAGUAAUACCAAGUUCCAACAAUUUGUAUCUCAAGCACAGAAUGAUCGUGCUCGCAUUGUGACUAGUGUUCCUGAUCUUGUAGCAAUAGAAAAAGCCGUUAGUGAACAAUGGGCUAGAGAGAGAACUCCAUCCUCUCAAAGAGAAAGUCCAGCCAGAGAUGAUGAGUCUAAAUAUGGUGACUCGAUGUCAUCGAGAGGUAGUACUCCAGAUGAUGCAUGGGCUAGCUAUGUUCAGUCUUGUCGAAAGCACUUAGGCCGCAGAAGUCAAAGCAUGACUUAUUUAGAAACUGAUGUAGACGUGGUUGAUAUUCCACUUUUUGAAAAUGAUGAUAAGUGGAGGAGCACGAGUGCUUUAGGCGAGCCAGAAAAUAGUGAAAGCUCUUUGCCCAUAGAAGACUCAGAUUUGGAUCAAAGUCAAGACGAUUUAGAUGACUCUGGCCGAGCGAAAUCUGAACACGAGUUGCGUAUUCAAAGAUCUCUGCAGAGCCUACCAUUACCAUCUUGGUAUAAGCAGUCCGAAAAACCCAAAACUGGAUUUUUAUUAGGUUCUGGUAAAAAAGAAAAGCGUGGUUGGGCAGCUGCUAAAUCCCUAGCUUCUUCUACGUCUAGCUUGGCAUCAUGUGGACUUAAAAGACCAAUACAUUCUUUGAGGUCUUCUCGAGAGAACAUUCCAUGGUCUAGAAGCUCUCCAUCUCCUGAUGGACCUGCCUUAUCUUUAGCGCUAGCUAGAGCUUUUCGUGAACCUUAUCUUGGUUGGAGAGCCAGGACAUCAACAACUAGUAGUGGUGUCUCUAGCUCUCCAAGGACUUCUCCACCUUCGUGGAGUGUCGCUACCACAGAUGAGGAAGCAAAUGGAAUUUCUUUUGAUGGGGAAGAUGCCUUUGGAAGGACUUCGUCUCAGGAUGAUCGUCGAGAUGAUCCACCUUCACUGGAUGACACAGGUGCCGAUGCUGUAACGGUUUCUAUGGAUACCGGUGAUCUGGGUAAACUUCCUGGUGGCGAAGACACCUGUGAUGAUAUAAACAAUAUGUCGAUGGACACUUGCGAGUUGUUUGAUGUCAGUAUUGUGCCAGACGUGGAAGAGCAGGAUGUAUCUCCGCAGGCGGACACUGGUGAUGAUAUCGAUAAUCUAUCAACGGACACAAUUGAGGAUAAACGGAAAGAUCCUAAGUUUAAAAGAUUCUCAUAUAGCCAGAGUAUUUAUAACAGUGAAUGGGACGAUGAAGAGGAAUCGAGAGGUGAUCUUAAAUCGAUGCAGAAAAAUCGUGAAAUCAGCCUUUCAUCGGACAAUAACAAAGUAAUUUGGAUUGAAUCGUCAUUUGUUGGAUCGAGGACUACCACAUCCAUUAUGGUGCUACCUGAAGACAAGAAAAAACGUGAAGGAAGCCUUGAAAGGCCGGCUUCCAGAUAGCAGGGAAGAGGGCCCACUUUGUAAUAAACAUUUCCCGAUUGAAAAAUAUUAAGAAGACGCUCAUCAAAUAAAAAUUGGAGAAGCCACCAUGGGAGAUAUCCACCUAUGUAAACCCAUUGCUCUCUUCACGUUUCUCUAGUGACGUCAUCACGAAAACAGGAUCACGCCAUGCUCAUACGCAACUGAUGACUGUAAGCAGCACACAAAAAUCGUGGCCCUGAACUUCUGAAAGAACAAUUCAGAAAAGAAACAAGGCUUAGCAGUGAUAUUUAUCUUUAAUAUUGCCCUCGUUAUUAUAUGAGUAUUACACAUGCCAUCUUCCUUCUGAUGUUUUCUAGCACAUGCACAUGCGUGACUCUAGCGCACAUACUUCGAACAUGGUGCGGUGAUUCUUUAUUUUCCGCUUUUUUUCACGCUUCUCAACUUGAUCAAGGUAUCUGUGGUGUGCACGUCGUGACGAAAUGAGAACUUGAUGGAACUCCUGAUGAAGGGAAGUUGAACUUGAUUUUCCUUUAUGAUAUGACUGUUGCCUGACGCUAAAUUCCGGUUUAGUGUUAUCUGGUGCAAGCAUAAAUUGACUGGUUCAAGAGAUUUUUUUUAAUGAAUUCUCUUUGUUAGAAGUGUUAUAAUUAUGCCGACUAUUAAAAACUAUGUUCCUUUUAA
rnacentral:misc_RNA from 1 species